CAAUGCUGAAUGUAGCUGAUGUCGUUUUGGCAGAGUAACAGUCAAUCUCCAUGGAUAACAAGUCACAGGUUCUGAGGAAGUGAACCAACAGGAACCUCAUUAUGAGAAUUCUGACACAUACCAUUUGAACUCCACCAUCUCUGAGGAUCCAGCUGUAGUGAGUGCUGUGUAUGCCACUGUGGAGAGGGCUCAGGAGAGCAGUGCCCGGGGAGGUGAUUAGCACACCUGCAUCUAGUUAUCUCCCCUUUUUAAGACAGUAGCGUGCUGGACCUGGGGAGAUGAGACAGACGCAGACACACCAAGGACAUGAGCAGCCUGCGAACGGCUCAAAUCAUUGGGUGCUCUGUGUACAAGUUAAAUAAAUGUAUCAAUCAGUCAUCAUUCUCUGCGUCUCUGUGCUGAAGAAACCCACAGUGGUAUCAGUCAACGCCA